rnacentral:misc_RNA from 1 species
AAGUCGUAACAAGGUUUCCGUAGGUGAACCUGCGGAAGGAUCAUUAACACGUGUAUUCCACGUAUACUAAAUUAAACACUAACCUUACCACGAACGAUUCCCCAGUUGAACCAACCUCUUGCUGCCUCAGUAUGGCUGCGGUGGGCUGGAGUCUUCGGACUCUUGUCACGUCAUACAGAAGCUUGUCACUCCGGUCUUCGGAUUAGAGAGUGUGGCGGUAACCGGUUUGGCUGGGCUUAACAUUCUCGCACAUAGUUCUCAACCACCUUCGGAUAUGUGCGGGGAGCCCCCCCCCCUUGUAUUAACCAUAUUUUACCUAUUUGGCUAAUGUUUGGAUUGGAGAGUCUUGAAGCUUGCUUCUUUUCUCAAAGAUCCUACUAAGAUUUAUCUUAACUAAGUACAACUCUUAGCAAUGGAUAUCUUGGUUCUC